rnacentral:misc_RNA from 1 species
GAACAGAAUAGUAGGAGCACUGUAUAUUUCACCAUCAGCACUGUAGCUGGAUCGGCUCACAUCCACAACAGGCCACGGCGCACGCGGAACACACGUAGCAGUACCACGUGGUCCACGGCCCUCUCUGGCUCGCUCGCCGCGCCGCGCCGGGCUAUUUGUACCCUCGCCCGCCCUUGCGUUACCCAACAACGCCUCCUCCAGUCCUUCUUCGUAAGCCUUCAAACCGACGAAUUUGAGCAACUGCACCCAGAGCGCGAUCCAUUGCCGGGGAAGAAGCAACUUGUUGCGAGCCUCCUCUAUGGCGAGCUCCGACCAUGGUUCCACCACCGCCCCCAAGGACGUGCCGGGCAGCUACGGCCUGCCGCUGGUGGGCGCCGUGCGCGACCGCCUCGACUUCUACUACUUCCAGGGGCAGGACAAGUACUUCGAGUCCCGCGUGGAGCGCUACGGCUCCACCGUGGUGCGCAUGAACGUGCCGCCGGGCCCCUUCAUGGCGCGCGACCCGCGGGUGGUGGCGGUCCUGGACGCCAAGAGCUUCCCCGUGCUCUUCGACAUGGACAAGGUGGAGAAGAAGGACCUGUUCACGGGCACCUACAUGCCGUCCACCUCCCUCACCGGCGGCUACCGCGUCUGCUCGUACCUGGACCCCUCCGAGCCCACCCACACCAAGGUGAAGCAGCUGCUCUUCUCCCUCCUGCUCUCCCGCAAGGACGACGUGAUCCCCACCUUCCGCUCCAACUUCUCCUCGCUCCUCGCCACCGUGGAGGCGGAGCUGGCCAAGGGCGGCAAGGCCGAGUUCAACAAGCUCAACGACGUGACCUCCUUCGACUUCAUCGGCGAGGGCCUGGGCCUGUCGCGCGAGGAGGCCUGCCACAACCUCCUCUUCGCCACCACCUUCAACAGCUACGGCGGCCUCAAGGUGCUGUUCCCGGGCCUGCUGGCCAACGUGGCCAGCGGCGGCGAGAAGCUCCACGAGCGGCUGGUGGCCGAGAUCCGCGGCGCCGUGGCCGACGCCGGCGGCAAGGUCACCCUCGCGGCGGUGGAGAGGAUGGAGCUGGCCAAGUCGGUGGUGUGGGAGUCGCUGCGCCUGGACCCGCCCGUCAAGUUCCAGUACGGGCACGCCAAGAAGGACCUGCUGGUGGAGAGCCACGACGCGGUGUUCCAGGUGAGGAAAGGCGAGAUGCUGUUCGGCUACCAGCCGUGCGCCACCAAGGACCCCCGCGUGUUCGGCGACACGGCCGGGGACUUCGUGCCCGACCGCUUCCUCGGCGAGGAGGGCAGCAAGCUGCUGCAGUACGUGUACUGGUCCAACGGCCGCGAGACCGACAACCCCAGCGUCGACAACAAGCAGUGCCCCGGGAAGAACUUCGUGGUGCUCGUCGGCAGGCUCCUCCUCGUCGAGCUCUUCCUCCGCUACGACACAUUCACCGCCGAGGUCGGCAAGGAGCUGCUCGGCACCAGCGUCAUCUUCACCGGUGUCACGAAAGCUACCUCCGGUCCGGGCAGCGAGUAAACCGCCCGGCCGGCGCGCGUCGUUGGAUAUAUGAUGAGUGGACGUGACAGAGUGUCCGACUAUUUCUUAAUUUCGUCAUUUUCCUCCUUCCUUCUAAUAAGAUUUCUCUCUCACCCUCGGCCCCCCUUCACGUGCGAUUGUAGGUGUUUGACGCUUUUGUAAUAAUGCAUGCUGGCAUGUUGCAUAAAUUGCUCCCCAAAAAAAUCUUAUCUUUCACAAGAAAUCUAUAAUCCCUUAGCAGCCUUGCCUUUCAUACUUUUCAAGCCCGUGGACUUGAUUGGCUUACUACUACCACCAAACUGAUGAGCAACGACUUCACGACGAUCUAGACUCUAGAGUAUAUAUAGGGGACCUUUACCGUCUGCAGACUGCCUUCUCUCGCGACCUACGUGG